UAAAAAUUGUGAAAAAUCACGUAAUGGACAAUGGCAGAGCAAGUCUUAUCACAGUUAACGAACACUAUGAGUACCUAAUGAGUUUUUGCAGUAAAUAAUUUUGCCAAAGUUGUGAUCCCGCGAAAGUUCUGUUUGUAAAUUGUAAGGAAUCGUCAAAAUAUUGGUGCAGACAUGGUUUGUGACCGGUGCUUUUCUCUUGAAAAAACACAACUGAAAGCCUUGAUCUUCAUCCCUACAAUAGAUAUCUGAAACAUGCCAGAUCUGCAUAACAGGAAUGUCAAAGAGGUUCUACCCAAAACACGCCCACAUGGCCAUCCUAAUAUCAAGAUUUUUCAAAAUUUCUAUAACAAAAAAGAUGAAAAAACCAAUAAAAUUUCAGGAGCAUAGUGUUAAGAGUUCUGUAGAUGAUUAUGAGAUCUCUUGAAACAACAGAAUGUUUAAUAAAGAUUUUUAACUUUCCUAAUAGUAAAAUUACAAUUAUUACUAAACAGUAAGUUGAAGUAAGUUUUAAAUUAAGAGAAUGCAACUAACACCGAAAGAAAAAUGAAAGUUACUGAAAAUAAAAAACUUUAUUGCAGUACCUACAUACACUUUCUACAUCUAAUUUUGUUUAUUGAUCACAUUCAUUUACUUGGAAAAGUAUCAGGCCUAUGAAUCGUCGUCUGGAAACAGCUAACCACACACCAACCUUCAUUGCGUGUGAUGGUGUUUCUUCAAAAGCGUGAGUAUUUUCUAUACACCAAAUUCUGAAGUUCUGUCAGUUGACAUAAUAGCCUAACAGAUGAAACCAGGCUUCAUCAGAAAAGAACGACAAAUCGAGAAUCCCGUUAUCGUCCAUAUCAGCUUGAAACCAACUACAAUACCCAACGCGGCAAGGAAAAUCAGCUGGUUGCAGCUCCUGAACCAACAAAAUCUUGUAUGGAUGCAUAUGUAACUUCUCUUUUACGAUUUUCUGACAUGGGCUGUAUGGUACUCCGGACAGUAAAGAUUUUUGACAAA